AACAGGUUAUGGGCCCAGAUUUGCUAAAAAAAAUGGAAGGAAGGAAGGGGGGGAAAAAAAAGAGAAGACAAGAAGAAUCAUUCCACAGACUCAAGACUCAACUACAUAUGUUUCUAAAUGGAAAACCAGCAAACAUGGAGUUCCACAGCUCCAAAAUGCAAGACCUCAUCACUGUAAAUAUGGAAGCCAAGGAGUUCCUUAGAAUUCUGAAGCAGUGAGAUUUGCAGUGUCUAAAGUGGCAGCAAAGGACAAACGUUUCAACAGCGUGACAGAAGGAACUUUCAAGGUAGCUCCA